GGAAUAUUGGACAAUGGGCGCAAGCCUGAUCCAGCCAUGCCGCGUGAGUGAUGAAGGCCCUAGGGUUGUAAAGCUCUUUCGCCAGGGACGAUAAUGACGGUACCUGGAUAAGAAGCCCCGGCUAACUUCGUGCCAGCAGCCGCGGUAAUACGAAGGGGGCUAGCGUUGUUCGGAAUCACUGGGCGUAAAGCGCAUGCAGGCGGAUCAGUCAGCCAGGGGUGAAAUCCCGAGGCUCAACCUCGGAACUGCCUUUGAUUCUGCUGAUCUUGAGUCCGGGAGAGGUGAGUGGAACUCCGAGUGUAGAGGUGAAAUUCGUAGAUAUUCGGAAGAACACCAGUGGCGAAGGCGGCUCACUGGCCCGGUACUGACGCUGAGAUGCGAAAGCGUGGGGAGCAAA
rnacentral:rRNA from 1 species